UGAGUGCGAGCUGCUACGGCAGCGAAGUUGGUGAUGUCAUGCUUCCAAGAAAAGCCCUAUACCCGUUAAGGCAUCAUGGCCUGUACCCGAAACCGACACAGGUGGGGUGGUAGAGAAUACCGAGGGGCGCGAGGUAACUCUCUCUAAGGAACUCGGCAAAAUGGCCCCGUAACUUCGGGAGAAGGGGUGCCACCGCAAGGUGGUCGCAGUGAAGAGGCCCAGGCGACUGUUUACCAAAAACACAGGUCUCCGCUAAGUCGCAAGACGAUGUAUGGGGGCUGACGCCUGCCCAGUGCCGGAAGGUUAAGGAAGCUGGUCAGCGCAAGCGAAGCUAGCGACUGAAGCCCCGGUGAACGGCGGCCGUAACGAUAACGGUCCUAAGGUAGCGAAAUUCCUUGUCGGGUAAGUUCCGACCCGCACGAAAGGCGUAACGAUCUGGGCGCUGUCUCGGAGAGAGGCUCGGCGAAAUAGAAUUGUCUGUGAAGAUGCGGACUACGUGCACCCGGACAGAAAGACCCUAUGAAGCUUUACUGUAGCUUGGUAUUGUGCCCGGGCUCGCAAUGCGCAGGAUAGGUGGGAGGCUUUGAUCAUCGGCUUGCGGGUCGAUGUGAGCCAACGGUGAGAUACCACUCUUUGCGAGCUAGGGUUCUAACGGCCACCCGUCAUCCGGGGGCCGGACAGUACCUGGUGGGCAGUUUGACUGGGGCGGUCGCCUCCUAAAAGGUAACGGAGGCGCGCAAAGGUUUGCUCAGGCUGGUUGGAAAUCAGCCGACGAGUGUAAAAGCAGAAGCAAGCUUGACUGUGAGACCAACAAGUCGAACAGGGAGGAAACUCGGCUUUAGUGAUCCGACGGUUCUGAGUGGAAGGGCCGUCGCUCAACGGAUAAAAGUUACUCUAAGGAUAACAGGCUGAUCUCCCCCAAGAGUUCACAUCGACGGGGAGGUUUGGCACCUCGAUGUCGGCUCAUCGCAACCUGGGGCUGAAGUCGGUCCCAAGGGUUGGGCUGUUCGCCCAUUAAAGCGGUACGCGAGCUGGGUUCAGAACGUCGUGAGACAGUUCGGUCCAUAUCCGGUGCACGUGCAGGAAUAUUGAGAGGAUUUCUCCCUAGUACGAGAGGACCGGGAGGAACGCACCUCUGGUGUACCAGUUAUCGUGCCAACGGUAAACGCUGGGUAGCCAUGUGCGGAGUGGAUAACCGCUGAAAGCAUCUAAGUGGGAAGCCCACCUCAAGAUGAGUAUUCCCAUGGCGUAAGCCAGUAAGGUCACGGGAAGAACACCCGUUGAUAGGCUCUAUGUGGAAGCGCAGUAAUGCGUGAAGCAGAGGAGUACUAAUAGACCGAGGGCUUGA
rnacentral:rRNA from 1 species